CACAAAUUAUUCCCGCCCUACUUCCCCCUUCCCCAGAAACAUGCUGAGCUCCACCCCCGGUCCUCAAGUGGCCUUAACCCUUUCUGCCCAGCCAGCUCUUAGGCCGGCUUUUAGUUUAAAAAAAAAAAAAAAAAGAUGUGCGCCAUACGGGUCCCUCUCCUCUGCCCUCACUACCGCAGGACCACCCUGUCUGGUGGUAUCACGCUGGGCCCGUGUCAUAUCGGACAAGGAGGACCUCUUA